rnacentral:rRNA from 1 species
AGUGAACGCUGGCGGCAGGCCUAAUACAUGCAAGUCGAACGGCAGCACAGCAGAGCUUGCUCUGUGGGUGGCGAGUGGCGGACGGGUGAGGAAUACAUGGGAAUCUGCCCAGUCGUGGGGGAUAACGUAUGGAAACGUACGCUAAUACCGCAUGCGCCCUAAGGGGGAAAGCCGGGGACCGCAAGGCCUGGCGCGAUUGGAUGAGCCCAUGUUCGAUUAGCUAGUUGGCGGGGUAAAGGCCCACCAAGGCGACGAUCGAUAGCUGGUCUGAGAGGAUGAUCAGCCACACUGGAACUGAGACACGGUCCAGACUCCUACGGGAGGCAGCAGUAGGGAAUAUUGGACAAUGGGGGCAACCCUGAUCCAGCCAUGCCGCGUGAGUGAAGAAGGCCUCGGGUUGUAAAGCUCUUUGUCCGGAAAGAAAGCAAUCGGUUAAUACCCGGUUGUCCUGACGGUACCGGAAGAAUAAGCACCGGCUAACUUCGUGCC